UACGUAGGGGGCAAGCGUUGUCCGGAAUCAUUGGGCGUAAAGCGCGUGUAGGCGGCCCGAUAAGUCCGCUGUGAAAGUCCAGGGCUCAACCCUGGGAUGCCGGUGGAUACUGUCGGGCUCGAGUCCGGAAGAGGAGUGUGGAAUCCGUGGUGUAGGCGGUGAAAUGCGCAGAUAGUCAGGAGGAACACCAAUGGCGAAGGCAGCACUCUGGGACGUGACUGACGCUGAGACGCGAAAGCGUGGGAGCAAACAGGAUUGAG
rnacentral:rRNA from 1 species